UUGGCUAAGGUGUCUUGGCUAAAGUGUCUUGGCUAAGGUGUCUUGGCUAAGGUGUCUUGGCUAUUGUGUCUUGGCUAAGGUGUCUUGGUUAAGGUGUCUUGGCUAAGGUGUCUUGGCUAAGGUGUCUUGGCUAAGGUGUCUCGGCUAAGGUGUCUCGGCUAAUGUGUCUUGGCUAAGGUGUCUUGGCUAAGGUGUCUUGGCUAAUGUGUCUUGGCUAAGGUGUCUUGGCUAAGGUGUCUCGGCUAAAGUGUCUCGGCUAAGGUGUCUUGGCUAAGGUGUCUUGGCUAAGGUGUCUUGGCUAAUGUGUCUCGGCUAAGGUGUCUUGGCUAAUGUGUCUUGGCUAAGGUGUCUUGGCUAAGGUGUCUUGGCUAAUGUGUCUCGGCUAAUGUGUCUUGGCUAAGGUGUCUUGGCUAAGGUGUCUUGGCUUAUGUGUCUUGGCUAAUGUGUCUUGGCUAAGGUGUCUUGGCUAAGGUGUCUUGGCUAAUGUGUCUUGGCUAAAGUGUCUUGGCUAUUGUGUCUUGGCUAAGGUGUCUUGGCUAAGGUGUCUUGGCUAAGGUGUCUUGGCUAAUGUGUCUUGGCUAAUGUGUCUUGGCUAAUGUGUCUCGGCUAAGGUGUCUUGGCUAAAGUGUCUUGGCUAAGGUGUCUUGGCUAAGGUGUCUUGGCUAAUGUGUCUCGGCUAAUGUGUCUUGGCUAAGGUGUCUUGGCUAAGGUGUCUUGGCUAAUGUGUCUUGGCUAAGGUGUCUUGGCUAAGGUGUCUUGGCUAAUGUGUCUUGGCUAAAGUGUCUUGGCUUAGGUGUCUUGGCUAAUGUGUCUUGGCUAAGGUGUCUUGGCUAAUGUGUCUCGGCUAAGGUGUCUUGGCUAAGGUGUCUUGGCUAAGGUGUCUUGGCUAAUGUGUCUUGGCUAAGGUGUCUUGGCUUAGGUGUCUUGGCUAAUGUGUCUCGGCUAAGGUGUCUUGGCUAAGGUGUCUUGACUAAGGUGUCUUGGCUAAUGUGUCUUGGCUAAAGUGUCUUGGCUAAGGUGUCUUGGCUAAUGUGUCUUGGCUAAAGUGUCUUGGCUAAUGUGUCUCGGCUAAAGUGUCUUGGCUUAGGUGUCUUGGCUAAUGUGUCUUGGCUAAUAUGUUUUGGCUAAGGUGUCUUGGCUAAGGUGUCUUGGCUAAGGUGUCUUGGCUAAGGUGUCUUGGCUAAGGUGUCUUGGCUAAGGUGUCUUGGCUAAUGUGUCUUGGCUAAUGUGUCUUGGCUAAUGUGUCUCGGCUAAGGUGUCUUGGCUAAGGUGUCUUGGCUAAUGUGUCUUGGCUAAUGUGUCUUGGCUAAUGUGUCUUGGCUAAAGUGUCUUGGCUAAGGUGUCUUGGCUAAUGUGUCUUGGCUAAAGUGUCUUGGCUAAUGUGUCUCGGCUAAAGUGUCUUGGCUUAGGUGUCUUGGCUAAUGUGUUUUGGCUAAGGUGUCUUGGCUAAGGUGUCUUGGCUAAGGUGUCUUGGCUAAGGUGUCUUGGCUAAGGUGUCUUGGCUAAGGUGUCUUGGCUAAGGUGUCUUGGCUAAUGUGUCUUGGCUAAUGUGUCUUGGCUAAUGUGUCUCGGCUAAGGUGUCUUGGCUAAGGUGUCUUGGCUAAGGUGUCUUGGCUAAGGUGUCUUGGCUUAGCUGUCUUGGCUAAUGUGUCUCGGCUAAGGUGUCUUGGCUAAGGUGUCUUGGCUAAGGUGUCUUGGCUAAGGUGUCUUGGCUAAGGUGUCUUGGCUAAUGUGUAUCGGCUAAGGUGUCUUGGCUAAAGUGUCUUGGCUAAGGUGUCUCGGCUAUGGUGUCUUGGCUAAUGUGUCUUGGCUAAGGUGUCUUGGCUAAGGUGUCUUGGCUAAGGUGUCUUGGCUAAUGUGUCUUGGCUAAGGUGUCUUGGCUAAUGUGUCUCGGCUAAGGUGUCUUGGCUAAGGUGUCUUGGCUAAUGUGUCUUGGCUAAGGUGUCUUGGCUAAGGUGUCUUGGCUAAUGUGUCUUGGCUAAAGUGUCUUGGCUUAGGUGUCUUGGCUAAUGUGUCUCGGCUAAGGUGUCUUGGCUAAGGUGUCUUGGCUAAUGUGUCUUGGCUAAUGUGUCUUGGCUAAGGUGUCUUGGCUAAUGUGUCUCGGCUAAGGUGUCUUGGCUAAGGUGUCUUGGCUAAUGUGUCUCGGCUAAAGUGUCUUGGCUAAGGUGUCUUGGCUAAUGUGUCUCGGCUAAGGUGUCUUGGCUAAGGUGUCUUGGCUAAGGUGUCUCGGCUAAUGUGUCUUGGCUAAGGUGUCUUGGCUAAUGUGUCUCGGCUAAGGUGUCUUGGCUUAUGUGUCUUGGCUAAGGUGUCUUGGCUAAGGUGUCUUGGCUAAUGUGUCUCGGCUAAUGUGUCUUGGCUAAGGUGUCUUGGCUAAGGUGUCUUGGCUAAGAUGUCUUGGCUAAGGUGUCUUGGCUAAUGUGUCUUGGCUAAGGUGUCUUGGCUAAGGUGUCUUGGCUAAGGUGUCUUGGCUAAGGUGUCUUGGCUAAUGUGUCUUGGCUUAGGUGUCUUGGCUAAGGUGUCUUAUCUAAGGUGUCUUGGCUAAUGUGUCUUGGCUAAUGUGUCUUGGCUAAGGUGUCUUGGCUAAGGUGUCUUGGCUUAGGUGUCUUGGCUAAGGUGUCUUGGCUAAGGUGUCUUGGCUAAGGUGUCUUGGCUAAUGUGUCUCGGCUAAGGUGUCUUGGCUAAGGUGUCUUGGCUAAAGUGUCUUGGCUAAGGUGUCUUGGCUAAUGUGUCUUGGCUAAAGUGUCUUGGCUAAGGUGUCUUGGCUAAGGUGUCUUGGCUAAUGUGUCUUGGCUAAGGUGUCUUGGCUAAUGUGUCUUGGCUUAGGUGUCUUGGCUAAGGUGUCUUGGCUAAGGUGUCUUGGCUAAGGUGUCUUGGCUAAUGUGUCUCGGCUAAGGUGUCUUGGCUAAGGUGUCUUGGCUAAAGUGUCUUGGCUAAGGUGUCUUGGCUAAUGUGUCUUGGCUUAUGUGUCUUGGCUAAUGUGUCUUGGCUAAGGUGUCUUGGCUAAGGUGUCUUGGCUAAUGUGUCUUGGCUAAAGUGUCUUGGCUAUUGUGUCUUGGCUAAGGUGUCUUGGCUAAGGUGUCUUGGCUAAGGUGUCUUGGCUAAAGUGUCUUGGCUAAGGUGUCUUGGCUAAGGUGUCUUGGCUAAUGUGUCUUGGCUAAGGUGUCUUGGCUAAGGUGUCUUGGCUUAGGUGUCUUGGCUAAGGUGUCUUGGCUAAGGUGUCUUGGCUAAGGUGUCUUGGCUAAUGUGUCUCGGCUAAGGUGUCUUGGCUAAGGUGUCUUGGCUAAAGUGUCUUGGCUAAGGUGUCUUGGCUAAUGUGUCUUGGCUUAUGUGUCUUGGCUAAUGUGUCUUGGCUAAGGUGUCUUGGCUAAGGUGUCUUGGCUAAUGUGUCUUGGCUAAAGUGUCUUGGCUAUUGUGUCUUGGCUAAGGUGUCUUGGCUAAGGUGUCUUGGCUAAGGUGUCUUGGCUAAUGUGUCUUGGCUAAUGUGUCUUGGCUAAUGUGUCUCGGCUAAGGUGUCUUGGCUAAUGUGUCUUGGCUAAGGUGUCUUGGCUAAGGUGUCUUGGCUAAUGUGUCUCGGCUAAUGUGUCUUGGCUAAGGUGUCUUGGCUAAGGUGUCUUGGCUAAUGUGUCUUGGCUAAGGUGUCUUGGCUAAGGUGUCUUGGCUAAUGUGUCUUGGCUAAAGUGUCUUGGCUUAGGUGUCUUGGCUAAUGUGUCUUGGCUAAGGUGUCUUGGCUAAUGUGUCUCGGCUAUUGUGUCUUGGCUAAGGUGUCUUGGUUAAGGUGUCUUGGCUAAGGUGUCUUGGCUAAGGUGUCUUGGCUAAGGUGUCUUGGCUAAUGUGUCUUGGCUAAUGUGUCUCGGCUAAGGUGUCUUGGCUAAGGUGUCUUGGCUAAGGUGUCUUGGCUAAGGUGUCUUGGCUAAGGUGUCUUGGCUUAGCUGUCUUGGCUAAUGUGUCUUGGCUAAAGUGUCUUGGCUUAGGUGUCUUGGCUAAUGUGUCUUGGCUAAGGUGUCUUGGCUAAUGUGUCUCGGAUAAUGUGUCUUGGCUGAGGUGUCUUGGCUAAAGUGUCUUGGCUAAUGUGUCUUGGCUAAGGUGUCUUGGCUAAGGUGUCUCGGCUAAGGUGUCUUGGCUAUUGUGUCUUGGCUAAGGUGUCUUGGCUAAGGUGUCUUGGCUAAGGUGUCUUGGCUAAGGUGUCUUGGCUAAGGUGUCUUGGCUAAGGUGUCUUGGCUAAGGUGUCUUGGCUAAGGUGUCUCGGCUAAUGUGUCUUGGCUAAAGUGUCUUGGCUUAGGUGUC